AGGCCUGCUCAUGGUUCAGAAAUUAUACAUUUCUCCAGUUCUUCAUUCAUAUAAAAUUGCAAUAACAUGUUGAAAUUGAUGUUCGGACAUAAAUCUGGAUAUCAUCUACCUAAAACUUUUGAUUUAAUUUAAUAUAAUUGAAACUAGUUCGCAUAGUCUUACCACUCUUACGAGAAGUGCCAUGCAUGGACACUUUCCAAGAGAAAUUAAUCGAGUAGGAGUGCUUCAAGUAAGAUAAGGUCUGAAAAAAAUCUGAAAAUCUAAAAGGAUCAACUCUAUUGACAAAAACAUCAGGAGACUAUAAUAAUAAGCAGUGGUAGCAAUCUACUUCUUAAUACUUAGCUUCAAAUUCAUGACAAAAUGGUUUAAAAGGGAACAAAAUUAAGUUAAUUAAGAAAAAUAAGGAACUUGACCAACUAGGAAAUGCAAGUUUAAUCACAAAGGUAUAUUGCUGCACGGUUGGAAGCUCUGGGGAAUGUCAGCAACUUCUCACUGAGCUUCAUUCGAUCUUUCUUUACUUUCACCACAGGUUCUAAGAGGUUGACACGCAUUUCCUCCAAAGCUCUCGCACUCGCAAGCAAAUAUCGCAUAAGGUCCACAGCAUUCUCGCUUACUUGGCGUAAAUCAAUGUCAAUUGUCUUAAGAUGCUUCAGUAUAUCUUUCAUAGACAACAUUGUUGACUGCCAAUAUUCUUCCAUGUUAAGCAUGUUUAAGGAUGUGCAAUCCCCCUAAUAUACACUUAUACAGUAAGAAUCCAUAAGUUCAAACUAACAAUACUUUAUGUAUCUUUUUGAAAUACGACCAAUUUGUUUAAAGCACCGCUAUAUUGCUACAUAUAUAUACGUACCUGGUUAAGAGAUAUGCUCAAAUGUUGUAGGUUCGGAUAACUCCUUAGCAGUAAGUUUAUUGCACGCACUUGGUUUUCAGUAUCAUGCAUACAAAGACGCAAAUAUUUCAGACUAUAACAUGGCGUAGCCAGAGAUGCUGAUAAGUCUCGAUCCCUCGUCAAAAACUGCACACAUCAAAAAGUGUAAAUUCAAGAUAAAGCUCGAAAAUCAGACUCUUGCUUUUGAUAAUAAGAAAGAAUGAAUGGUACCUCAAGAUAGAAAGCUGUUAAAGUCAGUGCCUCAACAUUACGCAACCCUGUCAGAAUCUUAGUAGCAGAAUCAUCAAAAAAAUCAGGGUCUGUGUUGUUCGAAUUAGUAGGGUGUAAAGAGAGCGUAAAAUGUGCCACAGACAAAGAGGAAAGGGUCUCAAUACUAAGAUUUGGUGGUUCUCUACCAAUGUAUACAAACUUGUGAAGAUGUGAGAUGAGAAGUUUGACUUUAAGGGACCGAACAUCACUUACAUCAUUGAAGAGCCUCAAGAGUUUAAGGUUGGACAAAGAAAAAACAUUUGUAUUAGCAUGAUUUUGGUAGCAGUAGAAGAUAUGCAACUCUUCAAGUACAGGACAGCAAGAACUUGAAAAAAGCAUGUUUGUCAGAUUGACAAACUCAAUCUUAGUGAGAAACAAAGAUUUUAGCAAUGGAAGUCUAAGGGUAGUAGAUAAUUUCAGAUGGACAUUAGACAAUUCCAUGUGUGUCAACGUAAUACAGCUAAAGAGGCAUGACGGAAGUUGUUCAAUUUGCCUAUUUUGUGAUAAAAGAGUGAGCCGUUGGACAUUGUGCCGUACAGCAAAAUUGAUCCAUGAGUUAAGAUGUGAAGUUGAAAGGGAUGAUUCUUUGUUCCAGAAAUAGAGAUCGAAACUUGUUAUGUCUGAUUCAUUAUGACCAAUAAGAAUUUGAUCAACUACAUCCUUAAAAUCAUCCACAUACCAUCGAGUCGAGCUUUCAUGAAAUUCCAAAUUGGGGAGAGAAGAACAUACGUGUCUCCAUUUUUUUGAAAGUACGCUGGUUUUAAUUGCUUCCUCCAUGGAAAGAAAGGAAAGUAUGUGUGCCGUCGAAUAGAUUCAUGGAGUGAACUAAUCCUGUCGACAUUUUCCAUUGAAGAUAUACGUUUCCUCUGCAAGUCAAAUGUGGAUCAUCUUAGUAAACUAUCACAUUACCCUACAGAACAACAACUGAGUCCAAACUCCAAAAUGUAUGAUAUUAACUACAGUGAAAACCCUCACUAAUUUGAUUUUGUUGCAGAAUUUUAAACACAAAAAAAAAACCCUAAGAUUAAUUUUAAGUUUUCCAAUAUAUGAUUUUGCAGUAUGAUGUGAACUGUUAAACAAAUCAAAUUUCAAGAAUCCCACAUUCCUUGAAACCAAACACACUCUCUAAUAUAUAUAUAUAAAAAAAAAAAAAAAAAAUCUUAUAUUCAAUAAACAAUUGAAAUUUAUAAGAGUUUUUCAUGAAAUUUAAACUAUAGAUAUAAAAUUAUUAAAAAUAGGUGUAGGUUACCUUCAUUGAUGACUUGUUCUACCAACGAUUCAACCAACAACAGAGAAGAAGAUGAAUAGAAUGGGAGUAAAGCCGUAUGCUUAAGUUAAAGAGUAAUAUAGUUGCAAAUUCCGAAAUCUGGUAAUAUGCCGGUUCUAAAAACCGGAUUAUUCCGAUAUGUCGAAAUAUUCCAUCGAUCCUGAUAAAAUAUCGAUUCUGAAAAUGGCAAAAUCUCCAGAAAUGUCAAGAUAUGUCCGCUUUCCAAUAUUUAUGAUUGUCAAAGUGACAGGAUUUGCUUUCAGUAGCAGGACUAUUAAAAAUGGAGCCAACUCUGCGGUUUAAGCAAAAUGCCGGCGUGAAAGAAUAACUGGUCUUAGGUGCACGGUUAAGGAUGUAGAAGUCAGGGCACUCUGCAAUCUGCAUGGCUAAACAAACUAUGAUAUCUUAACGUAGUCGCCCAAAUGCACACUAAAUAAUUGUUAAGAUCAUAAUAUAAUAGUUCAACAGAAAUGAAAUUAUGAAAACAAUCUUUCCAUAUCAAAACCUUGUGUACUGUAGUUUCUGCGACCUGAGGAACCCAAAGUAAUGCCUUAAAAUGAAGAAUGAGAAACAAGGCCUACACAUAGGUUAUUACACUAACAUGCUGAAAAUUUAAAAGGAUCAACGUACUCGAUCUAUUGACAAAAACAUAUGGAGCAUUAAAAGAUACAGUGAUAGCAAUCUAUUCUUAAUACGUAGCUUAAAAUUCAUGACAAAAUGAUUCAAAAGACAGCUAGGACAAUCAGACAAUGCAAUAUGAAUCAACAACGUUCGAGUAUUUCCCAUGAAACAUAUAUUUCCGCCCAAGGAUUUACUUUGGUGAAUGUCAGCAACGUCUGCUUAAGCUUCAGUUGAUCUUUCUCUGCAUUUAGGAGAUUUCGAUAUGGUCGAAAGAGUUUGACACUCGUAAUCUCCAAAACUCUUGCAUUUGCAAGCAAAUAUUGCAUAAUAUCCAAAGCAUUCUCACUUACUUUGAAUAAGUAGACUUUAGCUUGCUUAAGAUGCUUCAAAAUAUCUCCCGUAGACAACAUUUUUGUCUGCCAAUGUUGCACAUUAAGGAUGUGCAAUCUCCCUGAUAAACAGUAAAAAAAAAAUAAAACCAAUAGGUUAAGCCAAACUAUAUGCAUCUUCACCAAUUUGAUUGGAACACCAAUAUAUUGUUAUAGUACUAGUACCUGGGAAAAUUAUAUGCUCAAAAUUUGUAGGUUUGGAUAACUUUGCAACAGUAAGGUUAAUGCCUGCACUUGAUUUUUAGUAGCAUUCAUAUGAAGUUGCAAAGUUUUCAGAGUAUAACAUAUAGCCAGGCAUGUUGAUAAAUGUCAAUUCCUUGUCAGAUUCUGAACAUAACAAAAGAAGCAUGAUAAGAGACGGCUCGGAAAAAAAAAAAGAAAAAAGAAGACUAUCUCAUAUGAUAAUAAGGAAGACUGAUACGUACCUCGAUAUGAAAGUCUUGUAAUGUCAGUGUCUCCACAUUAAACAACCCUAAUAGAAUCGCAGUUGCAGAGUCAUUAAGAAGAUCAGGGUCUGUGUCAUUUGCAUUAGUUGUUAGGCAGUAUGUUAGUAUGGCAUGAGUAUGAUUCUAAGUAAAACCAGAAAACCCAGAAUAAAUAGAGUAUGCAAACCAGAACAAUAAUUAAGGACAGUAUGAUGUGAUCGAGUCGAGAAAAUCUCUGUCCUUAAGACAUAAUUUGCCCCAACAGGUGCUGUAUGGGUGUAGUGCAAACUGUCUCCCAGGAUACAACGAUCAAUACCUUCGUCGUGUAGCAGCACUUCAAACAAAACGAAGACGGCGAACCAGUUCAGUGAUGUAACUCUCUCAAGGGACACUGACAGACUAUGAAUGAUAAUGAAGAUGAUGUUUUCGAAUGAAUGAAAAAAAAUGCAGACACUGACAAGGUAUUUAUAGCAGGAAAAACUAAGUGAACAGACACUUGGGCCGAAACAGUUCAUUGAACGGAUACAACCAUUAAGGCCGAACAGACACUUUGGGCUUUAAACAGUUUCAUCAAAGGACACAACUUUUGGGCCCGAAACAGUUUCAUGAAAGGUUGCACCUAUCUGGGCCGAACCAGUAGCAAACCGGUUCGGAAUAGGUAUGCACCUAUUUGGAUUUAUUCUAAUGGACCUUUCUACUAAAAAGAUUAUGUUGGAUCACCAAGAUCCAAAUCCAAAUCCAAAUCCCAAGCCCGAGCCGAGUCGGUCGGACGGCGCGCGCGUGUGUGUGUUUUUCAAGCCCAAGCCCAUGUAAGGUUCCGCCCAACGCGCGAAAACAUUGUAACCCCAAGGGCCACGCCCUUAUUGUACAUGAGGGGUUUUUCUAGACAAAAUCUUAUCUACAUGGGUCAAAUGUGGGACUAUCAUAUUUUCCUUGCUUUGUCUCAAGUUGUUUGGAACUUGGGACACCAAUUUCUCAUUCACUAUGGAACAGUUUUAGACGUAUGAAUAUUCUGCGAGCAUCUACUCGGAACGAGGAUUCCAUACGUACCAAGAUCUAGCUCAAUGGAGCUCUAGAACAUAUCGAAAUGUCUAGCCAAAGACCUUGUCAGAUUUCUGUCAGAUUUCUGACAGAAUCUGUUCAAACUGUUUCCAACAUUAGUAGGGGGUACAGUGAAGGAAAAACUUGCAUAGGACAGAGAAGAAGAGUUUCUGAACUAAGGUGUAGUGGUUCUCCAGUAUAUCCAAACUUGUGAUGAUUUGAGUUUCAAGUCGUUGCUGUCCUGUCCAUGAAUGAACACAACUAAAAUCCUAAUAGAGUAUAAAGGAGUGUGCUUGCAAUCUUCUUUUGAUUACAAGCCAACUAAAAAGCUUUAACGAAAAAUCCAAACAACCAAGCAAAUGAUUUGCCAAGUAUAAGUCCUGUUUAAAACUAAUAUAUCACAGUUUCAAAGAAGCGUGAUGGUUGUUCAACCAAGGAUAGAAUAUGAACAACCAAGUUUACAUCCCCACAUAGUCUCAAUUGAUAACAAGGGAUAUGUUCAUUCAUAUUUUCACCAGUUAUACUGAAAGAAAUUUGGUAAGGACCACCUGCAAAAGAAAACCUAAUAUUGCUCUUUCAGCAGCAAACUUACUGUUUGAAACGAAGGUUAAUUUGAAACGAAGGUUAACACUGUUUAAUGUAAGGAAAUUCCUGUGUUUAACUGUAAAGGAAUUGCUGAUAUGAGGAGAGAGAGAGGGGGGGGGGUCAAAACUUGGAAAUAAUAACUGGAGUUAUGCGCAAGCCUAAAAGCUCAAGGCACUCUGCAUGACUACACCAAAAUAAUACAAAGCUGCCCAGUCCUAAUCAUUAAGAACAUAACACAAUAAUUAAAUAGAAAAAAAAAAGAAAAGAAAUCUAACGUCAAAACCAUGUAUAUUUUGUACGACCUGAGGUACCUAAAGUAAUACCUUAAAAUGAAAAAUAAGAUAUCAGAGGCCUGCUCAUGGUUCAAGAAUUAUACAUUUCUCCACUUCUUCAUAGUCAGAGGAGCAUUAAAAUAUAAACAAUGAUGGCAAUCUACUUCUUAAUACUUAGCUUCAAAUUCAUGACAAAAUGGUUUAAAAGACAACAAAACUAAGUUAAUUAAAAAAAAUAAGGAACUUGACCAACUAGGAAAUGCAAGUUUAAUCACAAAGGUAUAUUGCUGAACGGAUGGAAGCUCUGGGGAAUGUCAGCAACUUCUCACUGAGCUUCAUUCGAUCUUUCUCUAC
rnacentral:lncRNA from 1 species